rnacentral:rRNA from 1 species
CUCAGUAACACGUGGAUAACCUUCCCUUAGGACCGGAAUAACCCCGGGAAACUGGGGAUAAUACCGGAUAAGCCAUAGACGCUGGAAUGCCCUAUGGUUCAAAGCUCCGGCGCCUAAGGAUGGAUCUGCGGUCUAUCAGGUUGUAGUGGGUGUAACGUACCUACUAGCCGACGACGGAUACGGGUUGUGAGAGCAAGAGCCCGGAGAUGGAUUCUGAGACACGAAUCCAGGCCCUACGGGGUGCAGCAGGCGCGAACACUUUACAAUGCGGGAAACCGCGAUAAGGGAACCCCGAGUGCCAGCAUCAAAUGUUGGCUGUCCAGAUGAUUAAAAAUCAUUUGUUAGCAAGGGCCGGGCAAGACCGGUGCCAGCCGCCGCGGUAACACCGGCGGCCCGAGUGGUAGCCGUUUUUAUUGGGUCUAAAGGGUCCGUAGCCGGCCUGAUAAGUCCUUUGGGAAAUCUGGCAGCUUAACUGUCAGGCUUCUAAGGGAUACUGUCAGGCUUGGGACCGGAAGAGGUAAGGGGUACUCCAGGGGUAGGAGUGAAAUCUUGUAAUCCCUGGGGGACCAUCUGUGGCGAAGGCGCCUUACCAGAACGGGUCCGACGGUGAGGGACGAAAGCUAGGGGAGCAAACCGGAUUAGAUACCCGGGUAGUCCUAGCUGUAAACGAUGCUCGCUAGGUGUCAGACACGGUGCGACCGUGUUUGGUGCCGCAGGGAAGCCGUUAAGCGAGCCACCUGGGAAGUACGGUCGCAAGGCUGAAACUAAAG